UUUAAAUAAUUUAAUAUAAAAUAUUGAUUUGUGGUAUCAAAAAUAUCAAAUUUCAUUUUAAAUU
rnacentral:tRNA from 1 species